rnacentral:rRNA from 1 species
GACGAACGCUGGCGGCGUGCUUAACACAUGCAAGUCGAACGGAAAGGCCCUGCUUUUGUGGGGUGCUCGAGUGGCGAACGGGUGAGUAACACGUGAGUAACCUGCCCUUGACUUUGGGAUAACUUCAGGAAACUGGGGCUAAUACCGGAUAGGAGCUCCUGCUGCAUGGUGGGGGGUGGAAAGUUUCGGCGGGUGGGGAUGGACUCGCGGCUUAUCAGCUUGUUGGUGGGGUAGUGGCUUACCAAGGCUUUGACGGGUAGCCGGCCUGAGAGGGUGACCGGCCACAUUGGGCCUGAGAUACGGCCCAGACUCCUACGGGAGGCAGCAGUGGGGAAUAUUGCACAAUGGGCGGAAGCCUGAUGCAGCAACGCCGCGUGCGGGAUGACGGCCUUCGGGUUGUAAACCGCUUUCGCCUGUGACGAGGCGUGAGUGACGGUAAUGGGUAAAGAAGCACCGGCUAACUACGUG